rnacentral:rRNA from 1 species
UACAGAGGUCUCAAGCGUUGUUCGGAUUCAUUGGGCGUAAAGGGUGCGUAGGUGGCGGGGUAAGUCAGGUGUGAAAUCUCGGGGCUCAACCCCGAAACUGCACUUGAUACUGCCUUGCUUGAGUACUGGAGAGGAGAUUGGAAUUUACGGUGUAGCAGUGAAAAUGCGUAGAUAUCGUAAGGAACACCGGUGGCGAAAGCGGCUCACUGGAUCUCUUCUGACGCUGAUGCACGAAAGCUAGGGUAGCGAACGGG